rnacentral:lncRNA from 1 species
CUUAAUUUCCAAUUUUGUAAACACACUGCAGCAAGCGCUGAGACCUUCCCGAGCUGCCACCGGUCUGCGAGCAGAGUGGCACAAAUCUACUUGAUUUCCAGGGGAACAGGGUUGGUCCCAGCUUUAAAAAGAGAUGGCU